rnacentral:rRNA from 1 species
GACGAACGCUGGCGGCGUGCCUAAUACAUGCAAGUCCAGCGAAGUUUUUCUGCUUCUUUCACUUGAUAAACUUAGCGUCGAAUGGGUGACUAACACGUAACGUACCUUCCUCAUUGACUUGGACAACUAUUGCUAACGCUAGCUAAUACCGGAUAACACCAUUACCUGCUUGGUUUUUGUUUAUUUGUUCGUUUUGCUAUCACUAUGCGAUGUCUUUGCGUUGCAUUAGCUAGUUGGUGGGGUAAAGGCCUACCAAGUCGACGAUGCAUAGCCGAACUGAGAGGGUGAUAGGCCACACGAGGACUGAGACACGGCCAAGAGGACUACGAGAGGCAGCAGAAGGGAAUCGGCCGCAAUGGGCGAAAGCAUGACGGAGCAGGGGCGAGUGAGUGAAGAAGGAUUUGGGUUCGUAAAGAUCUGUUGUUAGGGAAGAAUGAUUGUGUAGUAAGAAUAAACAGUAGAGACGGUAACUAACAAGAAAGCAACGGCUAACUACGUG